rnacentral:lncRNA from 1 species
CGAUUUUAUCAGAAAGGAGGUCAGUAUGUACAGGCCCAUUCUAUAAUACAACAUAAUGAAAUGUAACCGUGUCUCAAGGAGAGGAGGCAGCCAAAUGUUUCUGUCUGAUUGGACGUAUUUAAUUCCAGUAUUAAGUCAGAUGGAAGUGGGCUCUGUACUUGUACUUGCUCCACCUGAAACAUCUGCAGUUUUGCAGGGAUAAACCUGAAUUGACUUUUGAUGCACAAAUUGAUUCUCAGCCCCUCCAGUCCAAGUGAGCUGUGCAGCUCACGCUGCCCUGCUUUGCUGGGUGGUUGUUGCAGAGCCUGUUACUGAAGUGCCCAGGUGUCCUAUGGCCUUUCCAUAACAACUUGCCUUUCCGUUCUCGGCUGCCUAUUUUUAGAGCUUUAUCAAUAUCUUGCUAGGAGCGUGUUAAAGAGCUUUGCUCAGGGCCAGCUGUAAUCACUUGUUUGUGUAAGAGAGCACUACAGGGCUGGUCUGCUCUACAGCAGCUCCCAAUCAAAUGAAACCAGCACUGUUUAUUCUGCUUGCAUGCCUUUUCCCUGCCUUCUCUUUGCUUUUCAACAUAAAUUGGUGGGAAAUGUUGCUUUGCAUUGAUUUUGUGUCGUGAGGGAUUGCUUUCCAUUUAUAAAAAAUAUUUCUGUUUACAGUGUACAGUAUAGGUUUAGCAAUCUUAAAUCUUAGAAGAUUUUUCCAUAGCCUGGAUGUGAGACCACCAGGCUCACCACAGCCCGUUCUGUAAAGGUCACUCCUUUGGAAAAAGCUGUAGAAGAGAAUGAACUACAAACUCUGUAAACUCUGACAAUUUGAAGAACAAACCAUGCAUGAGGAAGGGAACACCAGCGGAGGUGCCAUCAUGAUGCAAGAUGGGUAUGAGGAGGAAGUGGAAGAGGGGAAAACCCCAGCAGAGCAGGGACACUCCUUGGUCCUGAGGAGGGCACCCAUUUCCCACAGAUGCUCACAUGGGGCUGCUCAUCCACCAUCUUUGGCAACAAGCUACAGGGGAACAUGACAGGCACUGCAGAGAAGACAAUGUUAUUGGAGAGUAAACGAGCUGGAAAUAAACACUCUUAACAAUGAGUUAUUGACCUCA